rnacentral:piRNA from 1 species
CNGCCAUGCAAUGGUAUUGUGCUGUGAUC